rnacentral:rRNA from 1 species
UACGUAGGUGGCAAGCGUUGUCCGGAUUUAUUGGGUUUAAAGGGUGCGUAGGCGGCCGCCUAAGUCAGUUGUGAAAUACCCCGGCUCAACCGGGGGGGUGCGAUUGAUACUGGGCGGCUCGAGUAACAGCGAGGUUGGCGGAAUUGACGGUGUAGCGGUGAAAUGCAUAGAUAUCGUCAAGAACACCGAUAGCGAAGGCAGCCAACUAGGGGUUAACUGACGCUGAGGCCCGAAAGUGCGGGGAUCAAACAGG